GUAGAUAGGUUCUGUUAUUUAGGUGACCAGGUUAGUAGUGGAGUUGGUUGUUCUGAGAGCGUAGCUGUGAGAAUGAGAUUAGGCUGGGCAAAGUUCAGAGAGCUCCUACCUCAGCUGGCAACAAAGGGCAUCUCUCUCGGAGUGAAAGGCAGAUUGUUUGAUGCCUGCAGCUAUGCUGCGUGGCAGUGAAA